GAUUACAUUAUUCAUCGGCAUAACAACACUUCAUAUGCUCUUCAAGCAAACUGAUUUUUGGUGUUCUGAAUAGAUUCACAGAAAUUCUCUUAUUUACUGCGCAUGUAACGUCAAAUGGUGCAUGCUUUUAUUCUCUCAUUUACUGGGCAUGUAAGCCACUAGCUUUGGUACAACUCUGUUAGGUUCAGACUGUGUUCGAAAUCAAUGUAUUUUUGCAGUUUUUGAAGAAUACCGUGGUUUCUGAAAAUAAAUAUCAGUUUUAAAUACUAUAAUGUUUUUAGCACCAUUAAAGACUACAGUUUGAAAAACCGGAGUAUCUCUAAAACUAAUGUCUUUAUGUAGUAUCUGAAAAAGAGGUCUCUGCCUCUUUCUUAAAAGCUGAGAAACGCUCGCUCCUUGGUCUCUCUGUGUCCAUCUUCUGGCUGUCGUCGCAUGUAAGUCCUAUCUAUACUAGCUAUCUGAUCGACCUAUCAAACCAGAGGCGCACAUACAAGUUUCGUCUUCCUGCGGGAGCCUUUGACCUCGGUGUCCUGCUUGUCCUAGCAACACAGCAUUGCCAGCCGCCUAGUGCCAUCAAAUAAUCUGAACGCACGAGUAGUCCGUCUCUGAUCAGUUAUAAGUGAUGAUUCUACUACAUACCCUAGCAUCAUAGUUUGUCUUCGGUCAUUACUGUAGGUUCUAUCAAUUAGAUUAGAUGAUACUUCAUUAGAUGGUUUCAAGAGACAAAAUGCUCAAUCAUACUUGAUUGAUUCAGGAAUUAAUGCCCUUCUGGGCACAGUCAGCAUGCAGUUAUGACUUAUUCAUAUUCCUCAAUGCGGAGGGAAUGACCAAACCAACAGUUCCUAUGGGAAUAAAUGUUUCAGUGAGAGCAGCUAUGUUUUUUGUUAUAUUUACUAUUCACAGAAGCUGGAUUCCUAUAAAAAAGUUAUAGAAGGUGCAUACUGUUUGUCUACUGCCCAAUUGUGACCCUCUUUCCAUUUGUGACCAAGGAUUUUCCUUGCAAGAUGGCUCGUCGAAGAGAAUGCCUUCAUAUCCUGCCAGUUCAGCUUCUUGUGUGCAUGGCGAAUCUCAGCUCCAACUGGUAAAAAUACCAAUCAACCCUAUCCACUGCUGGAGCACCUCUUCCGGAUAGCAAAUGUCCUUGUCAAGGCCUCGAGCUGGCCGCAACCAAGCAUGGGCUGCCUCUAGCUCGUCCUCCACCGCGCUUGUGCUCUUAUUUGUGUGGCGGGCAGCGACCGUGACGAAGGUGCUUGUGGUGGACGACCAAGCCUGCUCGCUUCAUUGGCGCUGCGUGUGGCUAACCAUAGCCGCCACCAGGGACGCCGGUGCUUGUGGUUGACGACGAAGCACCUUGUUGUGCGACCCACCAGCACUGCGCGUGGCUAACCAUAGCCGCCACCAGGGACGCCGGCGACGUCCUUGGCGAGGUGACGCCUCCGCUGCCAGUUUGGCUGGUGGCUGAGGUCUUGUCUCCACCUCAAAAUUACUGGGGGCGGCGUGGUUCAGCCUUGGCUACAACCAUCGAAGGUGUUUCUCUUCUGUUGCUUGUAAAUUUAGGCACAAGUAGUUUACUAUGGUCUCAGAUGUGCUGAUGCAUAACUAUUGAAGACUUGGCAUCUUAUAGAUAUAGAAAUUUCUCGUCUUGUGAUGGUAAUCAACUGGGAUUGUUAACAGAAUAAUAUAUCAGCCAACAACAAAGCUGGGACCUAUCCA